rnacentral:tRNA from 1 species
GGAAAAGCAAGUAGACUGGCGACUAAACCCGAUUGGAAAGUGGCUGACUUGUGAAAGCAGGCUUGAGAGUUCGAAUCUCUCUUCUUCCGCCA